UAAAACAGUCCCAAUUAAACCCUUCUCUUUCCAUUUCUCCCUCUUUCGCUCUCAUAUUUUUGAGGUCCCUCUCUCUCUAAACUUAAUACACCAUUGACGUCACCAAGUGUAGGGAGUCACCGUCACCGUCGUCCACACCCAGUAUCGCCGUUGCCAUCACCAGUUAUCAUCAACAUUUGAGUUGUUUGUGCUUGAUUUAGGAGAUCAUUGUGCUGCUGCCUCUAUUGACAGCUUUGACGAUUAGUAGACAGCCUCCUUAAUCUUUAUGCAAAAUCAUCCUUUACAUUGUUCUAGAUAUUUCCACAUAUCUCAACAACUUUAGAUGGAGAUACAAAGUUGUUCUCCUCAUUAGCAAGACCUGCAGCCUCCCAAAUAAUGUUGAAAAGAAGGAAAUGGAUUUUUAGCAAACUAAAAGGAAAAAUGUGUCUGGCGCCCGGAACAUGAGACGCAGCUAGCUCAAAACUUCAAGAAGAAAGCCCAGCGCUUACUAUGUUUGAAUGUUAAUGUUGUGGUGGAUUUGUGGAUUGUGUAAGUGUUUUGUGGAUUUUUGCGAGCGGUGAAGUAGUCUAAUGUUGUAGACUAACUUAGUCUAAUGUUGUAGACUAAUUUAGUGUAGAUCUACUAGUUUAAUGUUUUGUGAAUGUUUGCAAAGGUUGUGAAGUAGUUUAAUGUUGUGUAGAUGUUUGCGAAAGUUGAAGUAACUUAAUGUCUCUUCGGAAUGUUUGAAUGACGUUUUGAUUCAACUUUGAAGUAGUUUUGAAUUGAAUUUGACGUAUUGUUGGUUGUAAUAUAUGUGGUUGUUGAAGUA